CAUGGAGCAAGCAGAGGAAGGUGGUCGUGGUCGUGGUCGUGGUAUUGUGAGCAGACAGCCUGGACAGAAUUGAAAGGAAAUCAAUUAGUGGUGGCCUUGGUCAUUUCCUCACUGAACUGCAAGAGUUGACAAUAGUUGAGAUGGUCCGUGCCAGUAAUGACAUCCGCCUUCGUGAGAUACAGAGCAAGAUUGAUGAUGACAAUGAUGUGAACAAUAGCAGAGACACCAUGUUUGAAUGAAACAACUCUACGUGGUACCUUUAUAAUAGGAAUAGUGAAAGGGUGAAGGAAUUAUGAUACCAAUAUGUACAAAGAAUGAAUGAGUUUGAUGUCAGCAUUUCUACAUAUGACUAUAUCUUCGUUGAUGAGGCAGGCUUCAACUUGACAAAAAGACACAGACAUGGCCAAAACAUUAUUUGACAGCGUGCCAUUGUGGAUGUGCCUGGGCAGCAUGGAGGGAACAUCACUAUGUGUGCUGCCAUCUGGCAUAAUGGUUGUUUGCCGCAGUCCAUUGCUUGGCGCAUGCAACACAGAGCGGCUGCUAGUCUUUCUAGGUGAAUUGCACAAUUGCCUUGUCCAACCCGAUGCAGCAAUGUCGGCAGGAAGAGAGGUCACAACAUUUGUCAUUAUUUAGACAAUGUGAGUUUCCAUCAUGCUGUGGUGGUGCAGGAGUGGUUCGCUGCACAUCCCUGCUUCUCGGUAAUGUACCUUCAACCGUAUUCCCCUUUUCUGAAUCCUAUCGACGAGUUUUUGUCCUCCUGGAGGUGGAAUGUGUAUGAUCACAUUCCCCAUGAACAAGCCGCACUUCUCCAGGCCAUGGAUGAGGCGUGUAAUGACAUUAUGCCAGAAGACUGCCAAGCCUGGAUCCAUCACGUCAGACAAUUCUUUCCACGGUGCAUAGCCAGAGAGAAUAUUCACUGUGAUGUGGAUGAAAACAUGUGGCCAGAAAGGAAUGAGAGAGUCAACGAUG